CCGGAUUGCUAUCGGGAUGGGACUAAGCCAUGCAAGUCUAAAUGGUACUUCAUGCCUGUACCAUUGGCAAAUCGCUCAGUAACACGUAGUUAAUCUACCUAUGGAGGGGCAUACCCUCGGGAAACUGAGGCUAAUUCCCCAUAGGCCACGCGGACUGGAAUGUUGCGUGACCUAAAUGACCUGUGAGGCCAUGAAAUCAGGCUCGCCAUAGGAUGAGACUGCGGCGGAUUAUGGUUGUUGGUGGGGUAACGGCCCACCAAGCCUUUGAUCCGUACGGGCCGUGAGAGCGGGAGCCCGGAGAUGGGAACUGAGAUAAUGUCCCAAGCCCUACGGGGUGCAGCAGGCGCGAAACCUCCGCAAUGCACGCAAGUGUGACGGGGCCAUCCCGAGUGCCUUCGGGCUUUUCUACAGUGUAAGAAGCUGUAGGAAUAAAG
rnacentral:rRNA from 1 species